rnacentral:miRNA from 1 species
GCUUGGCGCCUGGAGGUCGUCGG